rnacentral:rRNA from 1 species
AGUGAACGCUGGCGGUAGGCCUAACACAUGCAAGUCGAACGGCAGCACAGUAAGAGCUUGCUCUUACGGGUGGCGAGUGGCGGACGGGUGAGGAAUACAUCGGAAUCUACUUUUUCGUGGGGGAUAACGUAGGGAAACUUACGCUAAUACCGCAUACGACCUACGGGUGAAAGCAGGGGAUCUUCGGACCUUGCGCGAUUGAAUGAGCCGAUGUCGGAUUGGCUAGUUGGCGGGGUAAAGGCCCACCAAGGCGACGCUCCGUAGCUGGUCUGAGAGGAUGAUCAGCCACACUGGAACUGAGACACGGUCCAGACUCCUACGGGAGGCAGCAGUGGGGAAUAUUGGACAAUGGGCGCAAGCCUGAUCCAGCCAUACCGCGUGGGUGAAGAAGGCCUUCGGGUUGUAAAGCCCUUUUGUUGGGAAAGAAAAGCAGCAGGUUAAUACCCCGCUGUUCUGACGGUACCCAAAGAAUAAGCACCGGCUAACUUCGUG